GCCGUGUGGCUCAGUGGAUAGAGCUCGGCCUGUGGGCCGAAGGGUCCGGGGUUCGAUUCCCGGUCAGGGCA
rnacentral:tRNA from 1 species